rnacentral:tRNA from 1 species
GGCGCGAUAGCAAAGUGGCUAUGCAACGGAUUGCAAAUCCGUCUACAGCGGUUCGAUUCCGCUUCGCGCCUCCA